rnacentral:misc_RNA from 1 species
CCUCCUUAUACGAUUUAGAACUUAUUUGUUCGUAGUGUCCACACAGAUGAUUGUUAGUUAGUUUGCUCUUUGAGUUUACUAAUUAAUAUGCUCUUUAAAAAUUUGGAAAAGCUGAUAAUAAAAUUCGUAUGAAUGACAUUUGUUAUUUGUACAGAGUUUUCAAAAGUAAAAAAGAAUGAUAGCAGUAUCAUUCAGUGCCAAUUUAAUCUUCGGAUUAAUUGGUAUCUACUUUAGUAUUCAAUAUUAACUUCUGGCGAAGUUAAACUGUCACGAAACAAAGACCCGUUUGGGUUGUAUGGUUAAGUGACUAAGCGUACACGGUGGAUGC